GCGAUACAUGAAAUUUAUAAAAGGAGUGACUUGAAAAUGUGGAAGGUAAUUUAUGCCUCAAGGGUAGAGGAUGAUCAACUACUUACAAGUGUAGUAGUGGGCUCACACCAGAAAUCCCAGAUUCAAAUAUUGAAUGGAACUUUUACCACCCAAUCAAAGCACGAAUGAGCCCGAUUAUAUCACCAUUUAACAGGGCUUUGAGAAAUCGCGCCUUGCCAGCUGUAUAAGGUGGAUAUCUUGCAGGUACAUCCCCAGCAAAACUGCGACGUAGAACUGCCUUCUUAUGGCUGAAAGUAUCAAACGAAAAUUUGCCAUGACAUGAACCCAUUCCACUUUCCCCUACUCCUCCAAAUGGAAGAGUAGAAAGCGCAACUUGUAAAGUGGUGUCAUUGAUAAGCAGACCCCCUGCUGAUAUAUUCAUGACAAACUCCUCCUCCAGUUUCUUGUUGCUUGUGAACAGAUAUGCUGCAAGUGGCUUUUCUCUGGCUUUAAUGAAUUGUAUAGAAUCCUCCACUUUAUUGACCGUGAUAAUAGGAAGUAGAGGACCAAAUAUUUCCUCCUUCAUGAUUAAAGAAUCUUCUGGGACAUCCAGAAGAAUUGUAGGAGAGAUCUUUAAAUUAUUUUCAUCUCUCUGACCUCCAUGAACUACCUUAUCGACAACCUUAUUAUCAUCCAGUAACUUUGAUAGUCGUUGAAAGUGGUUAGCAUUCACAAUGCGAGAUAGAUCUCCUGAUUUUAGUGGAUCCUUUCCAUAGAAUUUCUCCAAUUCCUGUUUCAUAGCAUCUAGCAAUUUUGGCACACUUUCUUUGGUAGUAAUUAUAUAAUCAGGAGAGAUGCACGCUUGUCCAUUGUUGCAGCCCCACUUGCCAGCAAUAAUACGCCUUACUGCAAUCUUGUAAUCGAUGUUUGAAUCCACCACAACUGGAGAUUUACCACCUAGCUCCAAAACCACAGGUGUCAAGUGCUUUGCAGCAGCAGCCAGCACAAUCCGUCCAACUUUUCCAUUUCCUGUAUAAAAUAUCUUGUCCCAUUUUUGCUCUAGUAAUG
rnacentral:misc_RNA from 1 species